UACAGGGGGGCAAGCGUUGUUCGGAAUUACUGGGCGUAAAGGGCUUGUAGGUGGCCAAUUAAGUCAGACGUGAAAUCCCUCAGCUUAACUGGGGAACUGCGUCUGAUACUGGAUGGCUUGAGUUUGGGAGAGGGAUGCGGAAUUCCAGGUGUAGCGGUGAAAUGCGUAGAUAUCUGGAGGAACACCGGUGGCGAAGGCGGCAUCCUGGACCAACACUGACACUGAGGAGCGAAAGCCAGGGGAGCAAACGGGAGUUAGAAACC
rnacentral:rRNA from 1 species